GUGUCAGCAGCCGCGGUAACACGUAGGUGUCGAGCGUUAUCCGGAAUUACUGGGCGUAAAGCGCACGCAGGCGGCUCUACAAGUCUCGUGUGAAAGCUCUCGGCUCAACCGGGAGAGGACGCGGGAAACUGUAGGGCUUGAGGCAGGGAGAGGGGCGUGGAAUUCCCGGUGUAGCGGUGGAAUGCGUAGAUAUCGGGAGGAACACCAGUGGCGAAGGCGGCGCCCGGGCCCUGGCCUGACGCUCAGGUGCGAAAGCGUGGGGAGCGAACGGGAUUAGAUACCCCGGUAGUCCACGCCGUAAACGAUGCGAACUAGGUGUGGGCAGUAUUGACCCUGUCCGUGCCGAAGCCAACGCGCUAAGUUCGCCGCCUGGGGAGUACGGCCGCAAGGCUAAAACUUAAAUGAAUUGACGGGG
rnacentral:rRNA from 1 species